GAUGAACGCUAGCUACAGGCUUAACACAUGCAAGUCGAGGUGAAACGACAUCGAAAGCUUGCUUUUGAUGGGCGUCGACCGGCGCACGGGUGAGUAACGCGUAUCCAACCUGCCCACCACUUGGGGAUAACCUUGCGAAAGUAAGACUAAUACCCAAUGAUAUCUCUAGAAGACAUCUGAAAGAGAUUAAAGAUUUAUCGGUGAUGGAUGGGGAUGCGUCUGAUUAGCUUGUUGGCGGGGUAACGGCCCACCAAGGCAACGAUCAGUAGGGGUUCUGAGAGGAAGGUCCCCCACAUUGGAACUGAGACACGGUCCAAACUCCUACGGGAGGCAGCAGUGAGGAAUAUUGGUCAAUGGACGAGAGUCUGAACCAGCCAAGUAGCGUGCAGGAAGACGGCCCUAUGGGUUGUAAACUGCUUUUAUAAGGGAAUAAAGUGAGUCUCGUGAGACUUUUUGCAUGUACCUUAUGAAUAAGGACCGGCUAAUUCCGUG
rnacentral:rRNA from 1 species